CCCCGGAUUAGUUUGAUCCUGGCUCAGAUUAAACGCUGGCGGCAUGCCUUACACAUGCAAGUCGAACGGUAACAGGUCUUCGGAUGCUGACGAGUGGCGAACGGGUGAGUAAUACAUCGGAACGUGCCCGAUCUGUGGGGGAUAACGCAGCGAAAGCUGUGCUAAUACCCCAUACGAUCUACGGAUGAAAGCGGGGGAUCGCAAGACCUCGCGCGGACGGAGCGGCCGAUGGCAGAUUAGGUAGUUGGUGGGAUAAAAGCUUACCAAGCCGACGAUCUGUAGCUGGUCUGAGAGGACGACCAGCCACACUGGGACGAGACACGGCCCAGACUCCUACGGGAGGCAGCAGUGGGGAAUUUUGGACAAUGGGCGCAAGCCUGAUCCAGCCAUGCCGCGUGAGUGAAGAAGGCCUUCGGGUUGUAAAGCUCUUUCGGCGGGGAAGAAAUCCGCAUGGGUUAAUACCCUGUGUGGAUGACGGUACCCGAAUAAGAAGCACCGGCUAACUACGUGCCACCAGCCGCGGUAAUACGUAGGGUGCGAGCGUUAAUCGGAAUUACUGGGCGUAAAGCGUGCCCAGGCGGUUUUGUAAGUCAGAUGUGAAAUCCCCGGGCUCAACCCUGGGAACUGCAUUUGAGACUGCAAGGCUAGAGUGUGGCAGAGGGGGGUGGAAUUCCACGUGUAGCAGUGAAAUGCGUAGAGAUGUGGAGGAACACCGAUGGCGAAGGCAACCCCCUGGGCCAAUACUGACGCUCUAUGCACGAAAGCGUGGGGACCAAACAGGAUUAGAUCCCUGGUAGUCCAAUC
rnacentral:rRNA from 1 species